GAUGAACGCUGGCGGCGUGCCUAAUACAUGCAAGUCGAGCGAACGGACGAGAAGCUUGCUUCUCUGAUGUUAGCGGCGGACGGGUGAGUAACACGUGGAUAACCUACCUAUAAGACUGGGAUAACUUCGGGAAACCGGAGCUAAUACCGGAUAAUAUUUUGAACCGCAUGGUUCAAAAGUAAAAGACGGUCUUGCUGUCACUUAUAGAUGGAUCCGCGCUGCAUUAGCUAGUUGGUAAGGUAACGGCUUACCAAGGCAACGAUGCAUAGCCGACCUGAGAGGGUGAUCGGCCACACUGGAACUGAGACACGGUCCAGACUCCUACGGGAGGCAGCAGUAGGGAAUAUUCCGCAAUGGGCGAAAGCCUGACGGAGCAACGCCGCGUGAGUGAUGAAGGUCUUCGGAUCGUAAAACUCUGUUAUUAGGGAAGAACAGAUGUGUAAGUAACUGUGCACAUCUUGACGGUACCUAAUCAGAAAGCCACGGCUAACUACGUG
rnacentral:rRNA from 1 species